rnacentral:piRNA from 1 species
UGGAAGGUCAUGAUCUAAUUAAAAUGAGUU